rnacentral:rRNA from 1 species
AUGGUGUUGCUUGACAUUAGGGGUAUGUUGCAGUCCAUGGGCAAAGACAUAGCUGAUUUCUCUCUUCCAUACAUUGAUGAUGCGUUCAACCCAACCGAGGGCGAGGCCAGAGAAGUGAUCGAGGAAUCCAAUGUCGAUUUUGACAUCAACGACACUAAAUUGUCUUCGUCGCUAAACUCGGAGCAGAGGGCUACAUAUGAAGAGAUACUAGCUUCUGUUGAACGCGGUGAUGGGGGUGUGUUCUUUGUUGAUGGUCCGGGAGGUACAGGGAAGACCUUCCUGUACAGGGUGCUGCUCGCCAAGGUUCGAAGCGAGGGAAACGUCGCUAUCGCUACCGCGAUGUCAGGCGUCGCCGCUUCUAUCAUGCUGAGGCAGACUGCCCACUCGAGGUUCAAGAUCCCAUUGAGCUGCGAUGAUGGCGCCUCAUGCACCUUCAUGAAGCAGAGUGGUACCGCCAAGCUACUGAGGAUGGCCUCAUUGAUACUAUGGGACGAGGCCACCAUGACUAAACGACAGGCGGUCGAGGCACUGGACAACAGCAUGCGCGACAUCAUGGGAAGACGGGACCGACCCUUUGGAGGAAAAACUGUUGUGUUUGGCGGGGACUUCAGGAAGGUGCUUCCGGUCGUCAGGAGGGGGUCCCAGGGUCAGAUAAUCGAUGCAACCCUCCGAAGUUCACACCUCUGGAAGGGUAUGCUCCAGCUAAGGCUCGUCACCAACAUGAGGGCUCAUAAUGACACCUGGCUUGUGGAUUACUUGCUAAGGGUAGGCAAUGGCACCGAGGAAGUUGACGAUAAAGGAAACAUACGACUCCCUGCAGAUAUUUGUGUGCCAUCUAUAAGCGAGGGUGACGACCUGAAGAAGCUGAUUGACCAUGUACGUGUUUCCGAGACUAGAUGA